AUAUCUCUCUGUACGGGAAGGAUGAGAAGCUUCGACCAAGGUUCGAUUCGAGCGAAAGCGAGAAAGCGUUGCCGCAGGCAACGACCCGAAGGGCGAAGCGCGCAGCGCUGAGUAAUCCUUCCCCCACCACCA
rnacentral:sRNA from 6 species